rnacentral:rRNA from 1 species
UACGUAGGGGGCAAGCGUUGUCCGGAAUCAUUGGGCGUAAAGCGCGUGUAGGCGGCUGAGUAAGUCUGCUCUGAAAGCCCGGGGCUCAACCCCGGGAGGCGGGUGGAUACUGCUCAGCUCGAGUCCGGAAGAGGAGUGUGGAAUUCCUGGUGUAGCGGUGAAAUGCGCAGAUAUCAGGAGGAACACCAAUGGCGAAGGCAGCACUCGUGGGACGGUACUGACGCUGAGACGCGAAAGCGUGGGGAGCAAACAGG